rnacentral:rRNA from 1 species
AUUGAACGCUGGCGGCAGGCCUAACACAUGCAAGUCGAGCGGAUGAAGGGAGCUUGCUCCUGGAUUCAGCGGCGGACGGGUGAGUAAUGCCUAGGAAUCUGCCUGGUAGUGGGGGAUAACGCCCGGAAACGGGCGCUAAUACCGCAUACGUCCUGAGGGAGAAAGUGGGGGAUCUUCGGACCUCACGCUAUCAGAUGAGCCUAGGUCGGAUUAGCUAGUUGGUGGGGUAAAGGCCUACCAAGGCGACGAUCCGUAACUGGUCUGAGAGGAUGAUCAGUCACACUGGAACUGAGACACGGUCCAGACUCCUACGGGAGGCAGCAGUGGGGAAUAUUGGACUAUGGGCGAAAGCCUGAUCCAGCCAUGCCGCGUGUGUGAAGAAGGUCUUCGGAUUGUAAAGCACUUUAAGUUGGGAGGAAGGGCAGUAAGUUAAUACCUUGCUGUUUUGACGUUACCAACAGAAUAAGCACCGGCUAACUUCGUG